rnacentral:rRNA from 1 species
UACGUAGGGGCCGAGCGUUGUCCGGAUUUAUUGGGCGUAAAGCGCUCGCAGGUGGUUCAUUGCGUCGUGCGUGAAAGACCCCGGCUCAACUGGGGAGGGUCGUGCGAAACGGGUGAACUAGAGGCCAGUAGGGGGAUGCGGAAUUCCGGGUGUAGUGGUGGAAUGCGUAGAGAUCCGGAGGAACACCAGCGGCGAAGGCGGCAUCCUGGACUGGUCCUGACACUCAGGAGCGAAAGCGUGGGGAGCGAUCCGG